UCUCCGUAGGUGAACCUGCGGAGGGAUCAUUACUGAGUGAGGGUCUCCGGGCCCGACCUCCAACCCUUUUGUGAACCACCUCGUUGCUUCGGGGGCGACCCUGCCGUUUCGACGGCGAGCGCCCCCGGAGGCCUUCAAACACUGCAUCUUUGCGUCGGAGUUUAAGUAAAUUAAACAAAACUUUCAACAACGGAUCUCUUGGUUCUGGCAUCGAUGAAGAACGCAGC
rnacentral:misc_RNA from 1 species